AGUGAACGCUGGCGGCAUGCCUAACACAUGCAAGUCGAACGGCAGCACGGGAAGCGGUCUGGUGUAGAGUGGGCGACGGGCGGGUGAGUUAUCGGUACGUAACCAGCUGCGGGGGAUAAGGGAGAGAAGGUUAGGCACAUACGGUAAUAGAUCAUAGGAUGAACGGAGGGGAGCACAAGGUCUUGGGAUCUUGGAGGGGACGAUAUCAGAUUAGCUAGUUGGUGAGGUAAAGGCUCACCAAGGCGACGAUCAGUAGCUGGUCUGAGAGGAUGAUCAGCCACACUGGAACUGAGACACGGUCCAGACUCCUACGGGAGGCAGCAGUGGGGAAUUUUGGACAAUGGGCGCAAGCCUGAUCCAGCAAUGCCGCGUGAGUGAAGAAGGCCUUCGGGUUGUAAAGCUCUUUUGUUAGGGAAGAAACGGUGCAGGCUAAUAUCCCGUUCUAAUGACGGUACCUAAAGAAUAAGCACCGGCUAACUACGUG
rnacentral:rRNA from 1 species